rnacentral:lncRNA from 1 species
AUGCCAGCGAGCGAGCGGGGCGGCCUGCGGACUCUGGGUCAGCACGUGGCCCGGGCAUCUGCGUCUCUAACCCAUUCCCUAACGAGGCCGAUGUUGCUGGUGCAGGGAUGUCACUUCGAGAAUCACCGCUCUGUAGUUAGUGUCUUUGGUUUUCCGGCGUUUAUCCCGGUGGCCCUGUGUGUACGUGAACACGGAUCACUACAAUGGACCCGUUUAUGUAGGAUUUUGAAAUUCGGUGGUUUCCAUCUCACAAAAUAUCCUAGACAUCAUCCCCACACUACAGAUUACGAUCGCCCACAGUCAGCAGUGUGGCCCGCCGUGUCGGUGGCGCCCGGUGACGGCACCUGCUGCGGAGAGCCGGAGGGAGCACACAGAACUGUCCAGUCGUGUGGCUCCCCCGAAACCCGUACGACCCUGUGGGUCACUUGUGCUUCGAUAAAAAUCAGAUUGAAAAAAGAGAGUCGGGAAACCAGCCACGGAACUGAACCAACGCGAUGGGAGGAGCCAACGGGAGGAGGGUUGCGUAGGCCGAGGCCAAGCCCAGGGGCCGAGUGUCCUGAGGAGCGGCCCCCGAGCUCUCCUGCCGGGCCGGGCCAUCUGCGCAGCCCCGGGAGGCUCCCGGAGGCCUCGGCUCCCUGCACGGCCGCCCGAGUCCACGGCCCGUGUGGACACGGUUCAGCGGUGGGUGAUGCCCCUGCAGCCGGGCCUCCCACACGUCCAGCCGUGGAGCGUGAUCCUCCGAGGACCUCUGCGUUCCUUCUGUUUUCUAAGCUAGAGGACUCCAGGAGACAGUGCUCCGCUCCGUCCGACUUCACUUCACGGGAGGCCUGGGGCUCGGCGUCUGCACCUGCACCUCCGACCCGGUGGCCCGCGGCCUGCAGCCUCCUUGCUCCUGCAGCUCCGGCCUCCGCCAGGGUCCAGGCACGUCCCAGAAAUGCCACAGGACUGCCCGGCGGUGCCCAGGCCAAGCAGGAACCGGGAGCGUAGCGGGAAGGCAUCGAGGGCAGAG